rnacentral:rRNA from 1 species
UACGUAGGGUGCGAGCGUUGUCCGGAAUUAUUGGGCGUAAAGAGCUCGUAGGCGGUUCGGUAAGUCGGGUGUGAAAACUCUGGGCUCAACCCAGAGACGCCACCCGAUACUGCUGUGACUUGAGUCUGGUAGGGGAGCACGGAAUUCCUGGUGUAGCGGUGAAAUGCAUAGAUAUCAGGAGGAACACCGGUGGCGAAGGCGGUGCUCUGGGCCAGUACUGACGCUGAAGAGCGAAAGCGUGGGGAGCGAACAGG